rnacentral:rRNA from 1 species
UACGAAGGGUGCAAGCGUUACUCGGAAUUACUGGGCGUAAAGCGUGCGUAGGCGGUUUGUUAAGUCUGUCGUGAAAGCCCCGGGCUCAACCUGGGAAUGGCGAUGGAUACUGGCGAGCUAGAGUACGGUAGAGGAGAGUGGAAUUCCCGGUGUAGCAGUGAAAUGCGUAGAGAUCGGGAGGAACAUCAGUUGCGAAGGCGGCACUCUGGGCCGGUACUGACGCUGAGGAGCGAAAGCGUGGGGAGCGAACAGG